rnacentral:rRNA from 1 species
GUCCACGCCCUAAACGAUGAUGACUAGUUGUUGGGGGAGUUAAAUCCCUUAGUAACGCAGCUAACGCGUGAAGUCAUCCGCCUGGGGAGGUACGGUCGCAAGAUUAAAACUCAAAGGAAUUGACGGGGGCCCGGCACAAGCGGUGGAUGAUGUGGUUUAAUUCGAUGCAACGCGAAAAACCUUACCUACCCUUGACAUGUCAGGAACGCUGCAGAAAUGCAGCGGUGCCCGAAAGGGAACCUGAACACAGGUGCUGCAUGGCUGUCGU